rnacentral:piRNA from 1 species
UGCAUGAGUGGUAACUACGUU